UAGGGAAUCUUCCGCAAUGGGCGAAAGCCUGACGGAGCAACGCCGCGUGAGUGAUGAAGGUCUUCGGAUCGUAAAACUCUGUUAUUAGGGAAGAACAAAUGCGUAAGUAACUAUGCACGUCUUGACGGUACCUAAUCAGAAAGCCACGGCUAACUACGUGCCAGCAGCCGCGGUAAUACGUAGGUGGCAAGCGUUAUCCGGAAUUAUUGGGCGUAAAGUGCGCGUAGGCGGUUUUUUAAGUCUGAUGUGAAAGCCCACGGCUCAACCGUGGAGGGUCAUUGGAAACUGGAAAACUUGAGUGCAGAAGAGGAAAGUGGAAUUCCAUGUGUAGCGGUGAAAUGCGCAGAGAUAUGGAGGAACACCAGUGGCGAAGGCGACUUUCUGGUCUGUAACUGACGCUGAUGUGCGAAAGCGUGGGGAUCAAACAGG
rnacentral:rRNA from 1 species